ACCCAGUUGCGGGGUGACUCGAAUCGCGGAACACGCCUCUCGCCCGGCCUUAAGCCAAAUUUGACUCCCUUCGCGGAUUGAAGGUGAUCAAAGAACCCAGGAUUCCUCAAAUCACAGUUGAAACUGCCGCACCACUCACUGGCCUCUUGUGGUCAGACUGUGUCUCCUUCCUGGCGUCCCCCCACCCCCACCCCCACGUCCAGCACAGCAGCCUGGCACACACCAGGAAUAGUAAACUCUGAAAAUAUGUGUCAAAUGAAAAUUGGAUGAAACCCUGAUCCCGCUGAACUACACCAUUGGACAAAGGGACCCAGAGAAGUUUCUUGACUUACCAAAAUAAAACUGUAGAAGAAUAA